rnacentral:rRNA from 1 species
CUAUACAUGACUCUGCGCCAUAUCAAUAAGCGGAGGAAAAGAAACUAACAAGGAUUCCCCUAGUAACGGCGAGUGAAGCGGGAAGAGCUCAAAUUUGAAAUCUUAAAGGGUUUCCCUUUACGAAUUGUAGUUUAAAGAAGUGUUUUCUGUUGAGGUUUUGGUAAAAGUUCUUUGGAAUAGGACAUCAUAGAGGGUGAGAAUCCCGUAUUUGACCUUUACUUCCAACUUUGUGAUACACUUUCAAAGAGUCGGAUUGUUUGGGAAUGCAGUCCAAAAUGGGUGGUAAAUUUCAUCUAAAGCUAAAUAUUGGCGAGAGACCGAUAGCGAACAAGUACCGUGAGGGAAAGAUGAAAAGAACUUUGAAAAGAGAGUUAAACAGUACGUGAAAUUGUCAAAAGGGAAGCGUUUGACACCAGUGUUGUUUUCUCGAAAAUCAAUUAAAAAUGGCUCGAUUUUGUAUUGUUGAGACCUUAAAAGCUCACUGUACAUUUUUCGUGUCCUUUUUUAAUGCACUUUUCGUUUAACAAGUCAACAUCAGUUUCUUUUGUUGUAAAAGGGUCAUUGGAAGGUGGCUUUCUUUUCGGAGAAAGUGUUUAUAGCCUUUGGCCUCUGCAAUCGGAGAGACUGAGGUCUGCAGCGUAGACUCUUCGGGGUUAGAUACAUUUGUGCUAAGUUAUAGCUUUUUAUAGACAACUUGUUGACUAUAAUUAGUCUUGUAGCUUACUCGCUUAUGCUAUUUUACCUACGCUUAGGAUGUUGACAGCAGUAUAGACUGU